rnacentral:rRNA from 1 species
AAUACAGUACUUGUUAUGCCUUAUUAAAAAAAAGUUUUAUAACAUAAGGAAUUAUAACAAAGAAGCAACACAUAAAAUAUGACAUUCAUAUUUUUUAGUGUGUAUCAAUCGAGUUUCUGACCUAUCAGCUUUUGAUGUUAGGAUAUGGGCCUAACAUGGCUAUGACGGGUAACGGGGAAUUAGAGUUCGAUUCCGGAGAGGGAGCCUGAGAAACGGCUACCACAUCUAAGGAAGGCAGCAGGCGCGCAAAUUACCCAAUUCUAAAGAAGAGAGGUAGUGACAAGAAAUAAUAGGACAAGACUAAUUUUUUAGUUUUGUAUCUGUGCUGAUAGAAUUUUAAAACCAUUCUAAAAUUCCAUUGGAGGGCAAGUCUGGUGCCAGCAGCCGCGGUAAUUCCAGCUCCAAUAGCGUAUAUUAAAGUUGCUGCAGUUAAAAAGCUCGUAGUUGGAUUUCAAA